AGAGGUACUUUCUUCUGGAAGCCAGUAGAGAAGUCAGCAGCCACUUGCCUGGGCAUCCACACCAGGGACCGAGAGCUUCUGACCUUUACCGCUUGGAAGACAGAAAGGAGUGACUCUGAAGGCAAUGAAAAGCCACUGUGAACAACGGAGAACACUGGCUGGUUGGGGGCUCCAGUCCGCCUUCAGGCUUGGGGAGGAAAGGCUGCAUCUGCGAUCUGAAGCAAACUCCUGCCCCCCAUGGUGGUGCCUGGAUGCCUGCAGCGCUCUCCUGGAGAUCAGAAGCAGAUACAACAGCAUGUGGCUCUAACUCAGACCCAUCGAAAAUGGCAGACUCCACUUCAAAGAAGUUUCAACCAGACACAGAGCGAGCCUUACCUCCACCCUGCCGUACCCCCCCCAAUCAAACUGGUUAUGCCACAAUGGCUGAAUCUACCGGCUUCCAGGCAGCUCACAUGCCUGCCAUUGCACCCAGUCUCUGCUCACCAGCAUUCUGUGACUUCUAUUAUAACCAAAUCAAACUCAAA